rnacentral:misc_RNA from 1 species
AACCAUAGAAACCUGCGGAGUACCUGCGGAAGGAUCAUUAAAAAGAGUGUGUACCCCCCUGUAAAUUGGGUGGGUUACCUCCCGUCCUUUGUUGACCUCUUAGGAGGUUAUUUUGAACUUUUCUGCUUCGGUGGGGUUAAACCUACCGGAACACCCUCAAAUUCUGAUCAUUUAAAAAUUGUUCAGUCCGAUUUUUGUUAAUAAAAACAAAAAACUUUUAACAACGGAUCUCAGAUCGGA